AACGGGUGAGUAACGCGUGAGGAACCUGCCUCAAAGAGGGGGACAACAGUUGGAAACGACUGCUAAGGGGGGGGGGGCGCACGGGUCGGCAUCGACCAGAGGGAAAAGGAGCAAUCCGCUUUGAGAUGGCCUCGCGUCCGAUUAGCUAGUUGGUGAGGUAAUGGCCCACCAAGGCAACGAUCGGUAGCCGGACUGAGAGGUUGAACGGCCACAUUGGGACUGAGACACGGCCCAGACUCCUACGGGAGGCAGCAGUGGGGAAUAUUGCACAAUGGGGGAAACCCUGAUGCAGCGACGCCGCGUGGAGGAAGAAGGUCUUCGGAUUGUAAACUCCUGUUGUUGGGGAAGAUAAUGACGGUACCCAACAAGGAAGUGACGGCUAACUACGUGCCAGCAGCCGCGGUAAAACGUAGGUCACAAGCGUUGUCCGGAAUUACUGGGUGUAAAGGGAGCGCAGGCGGGGAGACAAGUUGGAAGUGAAAUCUAUGGGCUCAACCCAUAAACUGCUUUCAAAACUGUUUUUCUUGAGUAGUGCAGAGGUAGGCGGAAUUCCCGGUGUAGCGGUGGAAUGCGUAGAUAUCGGGAGGAACACCAGUGGCGAAGGCGGCCUACUGGGCACCAACUGACGCUGAGGCUCGAAAGUGUGGGUAGCAAACAGGAUUAGAUACCCUGGUAGUCCACACCGUAAACGAUGAUUACUAGGUGUUGGAGGAUUGACCCCUUCAGUGCCGCAGUUAACACAAUAAGUAAUCCACCUGGGGAGUACGACCGCAAGGUUGAAACUCAAAGGAAUUGACGGGGGCCCGCACAAGCAGUGGAGUAUGUGGUUUAAUUCGACGCAACGCGAAGAACCUUACCAAGUCUUGACAUCCCUUGACAGGCAUAGAAAUAUGUAAUCUCUUCGGAGCAAGGAGACAGGUGGUGCAUGGUUGUCGUCAGCUCGUGUCGUGAGAUGUUGGGUUAAGUCCCGCAACGAGCGCAACCCUUAUGGUCAGUUACUACGCAAGAGGACUCUGGCCAGACUGCCGUUGACAAAACGGAGGAAGGUGGGGAUGACGUCAAAUCAUCAUGCCCUUUAUGACUUGGGCUACACACGUACUACAAUGGCGUUAAACAAAGAGAAGCAAGACCGCGAGGUGGAGCAAAACUCAGAAACAACGUCCCAGUUCGNACUGCAGGCUGCAACUCGCCUGCACAAAGUCGGAAUUGCUAGUAAUCGUGGAUCAGCAUGCCACGGUGAAUACGUUCCCGGNCCUUGACACNACGCCCGUGACACAUGAGAGCUGGGGGGACCCGAGGUCGUAGCCUACCGCAAAGAGACGCCCUCGAGGGUAAACUGGUGAUUGGGGGGAGUCGUAACAAGUUACCUUAAGGCGGAUUCGUUAAACCUGCAGGAUAGUCCUUUAGUGAGGGUAAUCUGAGCUGGCGUAUCAUGGAAAAGUGUUUCUGCGAAAAUUUUAACCACAAAAUUCCCCAAAAGAAAGGGUUGGCUUGUUUUCCCCCGCCCGGAUACCCCCCCUAAGGAAAAUCCUCCGGGUUAAAAAAUGUCCUUAGGCCCCUUUUAGGUUUCCCCGGGGGCGGUUUCUUGGGGGGUACAUUGGGUUAAACCCCAUUUGGGCCCCGGGUUUUAGGGGGCGCGAGUUUCAACC
rnacentral:rRNA from 1 species